rnacentral:rRNA from 1 species
UACAGGGGGGGCAAGCGUUGUUCGGAAUUACUGGGCGUAAAGGGCUUGUAGGUGGCCAACUAAGUCACACGUGAAAUCCCCAGGCUUAACCUGGGAACUGCGUGUGAUACUGGAUGGCUUGAAUCCGGGAGAGGGAUGCGGAAUUCCAGGUGUAGCGGUGAAAUGCGUAGAUAUCUGGAGGAACACCGGUGGCGAAGGCGGCGACCUGGUCCAUUACUGACGCUGAGGCGCGACAGCGUGGGGAGCAAACAGG